AACGAACGCUGGCGGCAUGCCUAACACAUGCAAGUCGAACGAGACCUUCGGGUCUAGUGGCGCACGGGUGCGUAACGCGUGGGAAUCUGCCCUCUGGUUCGGAACAACAGUUGGAAACGACUGCUAAUACCGGAUAAUGACUUCGGUCCAAAGAUUUAUCGCCUGAGGAUGAGCCCGCGUCGGAUUAGCUUGUUGGUGAGGUAAAAGCUCACCAAGGCGACGAUCCGUAGCUGGUCUGAGAGGAUGAUCAGCCACACUGGGACUGAGACACGGCCCAGACUCCUACGGGAGGCAGCAGUGGGGAAUAUUGGACAAUGGGCGAAAGCCUGAUCCAGCAAUGCCGCGUGAGUGAUGAAGGCCUUAGGGUUGUAAAGCUCUUUUACCCGGGAUGAUAAUGACAGUACCGGGAGAAUAAGCCCCGGCUAACUCCGUGCCAGCCGCCGCAGUAACAC
rnacentral:rRNA from 1 species